UGCCAGCCGCCGCGGUAAUACGGAGGGUGCAAGCGUUGUUCGGAAUUAUUGGGCGUAAAGCGCGUGUAGGCGGUUCGUUAAGUCUGAUGUGAAAGCCCGGGGCUCAACCCCGGAAGUGCAUCCGAAACUAUCUAGCUUGAAUAUGGAAGAGGGUAGUGGAAUUCCUGGUGUAGUGGUGAAAUACGUAGAUAUCAGGAGGAACAUCGGUGGCGAAGGCGGCUGCCUGGUCCAAUAUUGACGCUGAGGCGCGAAGGCGUGGGUAGUGAAUGGGAUUAGAUA
rnacentral:rRNA from 1 species